AUUGAACGCUGGCGGCAGGCCUAACACAUGCAAGUCGAACGAGUGGCGGACGGGUGAGUAAUGUCUGGGAAACUGCCCGAUGGAGGGGGAUAACUACUGGAAACGGUAGCUAAUACCGCAUACCAUCGGAUGUGCCCAGAUGGGAUUAGCUUGUAGGUGGGGUAAAGGCUCACCUAGGCGACGAUCCCUCGCUGGUCUGAGAGGAUGACCAGCCACACUGGAACUGAGAAACGGUCCAGACUCCUACGGGAGGCAGCAGUGGGGAAUAUUGCACAAUGGGCGCAAGCCUGAUGCAGCCAGGCCGCGUGUAUGAAGAAGGCCUUCGGGUUGUAAAGUACGUUCAGCGGGGAGGCGUGACGCGAAGAAGAAGCACCGGCUAACUCCGUGCCAGCAGCCGCGGUAAUUG
rnacentral:rRNA from 1 species